ACCCUCCCAUUCCCUUUCCUCGGAUCAAAGCACUGCUCUGGGUGGUUGUAAAAGGAGGAAAAGAAACAUCGACGCUGCCCCUCAGUGAUCUUGGGGCUCGGGCUAGUUUCAAACAGGG
ensembl:snoRNA